rnacentral:rRNA from 1 species
GAGUUUGAUCGUGGCUCAGGACGAACGCUGGCGGCGUGCCUAAUACAUGCAAGUCGAGCGGAUCUUCAUUAGCUUGCUUUUGAAGAUCAGCGGCGGACGGGUGAGUAACACGUGGGCAACCUGCCUGUAAGACUGGGAUAACUUCGGGAAACCGGAGCUAAUACCGGAUGAUCCUUUUCCUCUCAUGAGGAAAAGCUGAAAGACGGUUUCGGCUGUCACUUACAGAUGGGCCCGCGGCGCAUUAGCUAGUUGGUGAGGUAACGGCUCACCAAGGCGACGAUGCGUAGCCGACCUGAGAGGGUGAUCGGCCACACUGGGACUGAGACACGGCCCAGACUCCUACGGGAGGCAGCAGUAGGGAAUCUUCCGCAAUGGACGAAAGUCUGACGGAGCAACGCCGCGUGAGCGAUGAAGGCC